rnacentral:rRNA from 1 species
UCGAGAAACUUCCACAAUGGGCGAAAGCCUGAUGGAGCGACGUCGCGUGAUGGACGAAGUGCUUCGGCACGUAAACAUCUUUUAUGUGGGAUGAAAUUAUUGACAGUACCACAUGAAUAAGGGGCUCCUAACUCUGUGCCAGCAGGAGCGGUAAUACAGAGGCCCCAAGCGUUAUCCGGAAUCACUGGGCGUAAAGGGUGUCGAGGCGGUUGUAUUAGUCGUUCGUAAAAUCUACGAGCUUAACUUGUAGGCGGCGAACGAAACGGUACGACUUGAGGUUUGGAGAGGUGCGUGGAACUCACGGUGUAGGGGUGAAAUCCGUUGAUAUCGUGGGGAACACCAAAGGCGAAGGCAGCGCACUGGCCAAAAUCUGACGCUCACACACGAAAGCUAGGGUAGCGAAGAGGAUUAGAUACCCAGGUAGUCCCUGAGCGGGCUGGCAAGGCGC